rnacentral:lncRNA from 1 species
AUGCUGGUGUCUACUUUAGAUUCCGCUGAGCUCAAUGCAUUCUUCUGAUGAAAUUAAGGAGGAUUUAGAAUCAACUUCUCAGCGAGAAAAUAUAUUUCAGCUCUUCUAUACACAAAAGCAGCUGGUAGCUCAGAGACAUACAUUUAACUCGGCAUGCCUUCUCUUGAAUAAAGCAGUGCCUGUUAAUUUCUGAAAUGCUGUCACUCAGCAUGCCACACAUGCUUGUGCUGAGGACAGUGUUAUCUCCCUGAUAUUGCACUGUCCCAGUGCUACUACACCUAGGUGCCCAGAUGUGCAAAGGCCAAGCCCUGAUGCCAUAUUCAGACUAUGAAUUUUGCACUAUUAUCACAACUCAACGGCUCUCAUUUCCCCAACAGACAGGAAAGGUAAGGAAGAAAGCACAGAAUUCCUCUGCAUCGCACCAGCAAACAGCACCAAAAAGGGAUGUGCUUUCAAGCAAAGAGCCAGUGAAUUCCCACUGUACACCACCUGGAUCAUCACAUCUGGAGGCUGCUGGGGGACUGAUGAAAUCAGCGUCCUGCAGAGCCUCAGCUCAGCUCUCGAUACUGACCAGAGCAAAGCCACUGGAGCAAUGCCCUUGUCAGCAGAAGAAAUACCCAAAUCUGCUAGUGUUCAUGGAGAACCGUUGUCCCCCAGCUCUUUGGGUUCUUCCAUGCCAGGUCCUGAUGCUGCUCGUCACAGGAGCAGAGGGGUUGUGUGAGAUGACUGAGCACAAGCUGUCCAUCAGGACAACAACCCUGUUGAGCUCCCAGUGCUGCACCUCCAUCCUGCAUGCCCACAGACCAAGUGGCUGGGCCUGCAGAGUCCCAACUCAUCACCAUGCAGAGGCACCCACCAUGCUCUGCCUGCUCCAGGCCGCUUUCCCAGGCAGGAGAAUGAGACCUUUGCCAUCAGCAUUGAGGUGAACGAGGACUGAAGAUCUGGUUUCUCUCAGGAUGUGCUGAAGGACUUCACAAUUCCCUAAUUCUCCACAUCUCCAUCCCAUGAACAAGCACUGGAGUUAACCAUGGCUGCAAAGCCAGGGAAUGUGCCAAGGAUGGGGCAAAGCUGAAGUCUGAAACAAAUCUCCCUGAGAGGAUGCUACGGUCUCGGACAGCAGCAGGGUGGGAUUAUCUGCCACCACAAUUGCUAUGCGGGAGAUAAAAGAGCUUCACUCUUGGAAAAUAAACAUUUGCUCACUCCAAACA